rnacentral:rRNA from 1 species
CGCUGGCGGCACGCCUAACACAUGCAAGUCGAACGAAGUAGCAAUACUUAGUGGCAGACGGGUGAGUAACAUGUAGGUAUCUGCCCUUUGGCCUGGAAUAACACGAGGAAACUUGUGCUAAUACCGGAUAAGUCUUUACGGAGAAAGCUUUAUGCACCAUUGGAUGAGCCUGCACUUGAUUAGUUUGUUGGUGGGGUAAUGGCCUACCAAGACUGUGAUCAAUAGCUGAUUUGAGAGGAUGAUCAGCCACAUUGGGACUGAGACACGGCCCAAACUCCUACGGGAGGCAGCAGUGGGGAAUCUUGCACAAUGGAGGAAACUCUGAUGCAGCGAUGCCGCGUGAGUGAAGAAGGCCUUUGGGUUGUAAAGCUCUUUCGUCGGGGAAGAAAAUGACUGUACCCGAAUAAGAAGGUCCGGCUAACUUCGUGCCAGCAGCCGCGGUAAUACGAAGGGACCUAGCGUAGUUCGGAAUUACUGGGCUUAAAGAGUUCGUAGGUGGUUGAAAAAGUUGGUGGUGAAAUCCCAGAGCUUAACUCUGGAACUGCCAUCAAAACUUUUCAGCUAGAGUUUGAUAGAGGAAAGCAGAAUUUCUAGUGUAGAGGUGAAAUUCGUAGAUAUUAGAAAGAAUACCAAUUGCGAAGGCAGCUUUCUGGAUCAUUACUGACACUGAGGAACGAAAGCAUGGGUAGCGAAGAGGAUUAGAUACCCUCGUAGUCCAUGCCGUAAACGAUGUGUGUUAGACGUUGGAAAUUUAUUUUCAGUGUCGCAGCGAAAGCGAUAAACACACCGCCUGGGGAGUACGAC